rnacentral:lncRNA from 1 species
AGUCAACCUUUUCCUAUUAUACACUAAGGUAUCGUUUGGUUCGGGGAUAAGCAAAAAGUGGCUAUUUCGAAAAUAGAUAUAAAUUGAAGUAUAAAUAGGGAUUAGAUCAAUUUUGCGUUUGAAUGAAAAUUGGGUUAUUCUUGAUAAUAAAAAAAAUAGCGUUUGAUUAGAUAAGAUGGAAUAAGAAUUAAAAUGGGUAGUU